UGGGGAAUUUUGGACAAUGGGCGAAANCCUGAUCCAGCAAUGCCGCGUGUGUGAAGAAGGCCUUCGGGUUGUAAAGCACUUUUGUCCGGAAAGAAAUCCUUGGCUCUAAUACAGUCGGGGGAUGACGGUACCGGAAGAAUAAGCACCGGCUAACUACGUGCCAGCAGCCGCGGUAAUACGUAGGGUGCAAGCGUUAAUCGGAAUUACUGGGCGUAAAGCGUGCGCAGGCGGUUUGCUAAGACCGAUGUGAAAUCCCCGGGCUCAACCUGGGAACUGCAUUGGUGACUGGCAGGCUAGAGUAUGGCAGAGGGGGGUAGAAUUCCACGUGUAGCAGUGAAAAUGCGUAGAGAUGUGGAGGAAUACCGAUGGCGAAGGCAGCCCCCUGGGCCAAAUACUGACGCUCAUGCACGAAAAGCGUGGGGAGCAAAACAGGAUUAGAUACCCUGGUAGUCCACGCCCUAAAACGAUGUCAACUAGUUGUUGGGGAUUCAUUUCCUUAGUAACGUAGCUAACGCGUGAAGUUGACCGCCUGGGGAGUACGGUCGCAAGAUUAAAACUCAAAUGAAUUGACGGGGUCAUAGCUGUUUCCU
rnacentral:rRNA from 1 species